rnacentral:rRNA from 1 species
GAUGAACGCUGGCGGCGUGCCUAAUACAUGCAAGUCGAGCGAACGGACGAGAAGCUUGCUUCUCUGAUGUUAGCGGCGGACGGGUGAGUAACACGUGGAUAACCUACCUAUAAGACUGGGAUAACUUCGGGAAACCGGAGCUAAUACCGGAUAAUAUUUUGAACCGCAUGGUUCAAAAGUGAAAGACGGUCUUGCUGUCACUUAUAGAUGGAUCCGCGCUGCAUUAGCUAGUUGGUAAGGUAACGGCUUACCAAGGCAACGAUGCAUAGCCGACCUGAGAGGGUAAUCGGCCACACUGGAACUGAGACACGGUCCAGACUCCUACGGGAGGCAGCAGUAGGGAAUCUUCCGCAGUGGGCGAAGGCCUGACGGAGCAACGCCGGGUGGGUGAUGAAGGCCUCGGAUCGUAAAACUCUGUUAUUAGGGAAGAACAUAUGUGUAAGUAACUGUGCACAUCUUGACGGUACCUAAUCAGAAAGCCACGGCUAACUACGUG